UUCUUUUUUAUUUUUUCUUUUUAAAUUUUAUUUUAUUUUAUUUUUUCAUUGAUAAAAACGUAUAUAAUUUAUAAAAACUAUAUACUAUUUUAAUUUGGCUACUAUCCAAUAUUUCAAUUUAUUUGAUUUAACUUAGUCGAUUGUAUUUUAACUUCAAAUUUUGAACGUAUUAUUUAUUUUUACAAGUUUAAUCAGUAUUUUUCGUGCCCGAUCUCAUAAUAUAAAGUAUAAAUUCAUUACCGUAAAUAAUUAGUUUAAAAUUUAAAGUCAAAAUAUUGUUGAUUGACUCAAAUUAAAUAAAUUAAAUAAUUGAAUAAUAAGAUUAAAAUUUUAAGCAAUUGAAUAUAAUAAAUUUAAUUAGACAAGUUUUAUAUUUUUUUUAAUUUUAUUUUGUGUUUUUAUG
rnacentral:lncRNA from 1 species